AUAUCACAGUCUUUUCCAUGUGUUGUUCUCAGAAGCUACAAUUUGUAGCUAUUCAAAAGCUACAAUCAUAGCUAAAAGCCACAGUUUUCACAAACGGACACUGAUGGUGUGAUGGCAUGAACUCCUCCUCUACUUGAUAUGGUGUGCGCCAUUGUUUCCACGUUUAAUUUAUAUUGCCCCCCUUUCCCUUUAGAAUGAUAAUAAGUUAAAAUGAAAUGGCCUCUUGCAUUGGACUCUCUCUUCAAAUCAAAAUGGUGUGAUGGAAAAAAUCCUAUAUUUAUUUAUUUAUUAUUUUGUCUUCUCACUCACAAGAUUUAGCAUUUCAAAAUGUAUACACACCCUUCCAUGCAUGCUGUUCUUCCCCUGCCACGUAAAUCCUAUCACGUUAAGAAUUGCAAUUGUCCACUUCUCAUCUCAUGCCUCGCACUCAUCUAUUUGCCUCUCUAUCUGACCAUUGGUAAGAGGAAAGGCUCAAAACCUAAGAAAAUUGCUGUCCACAAGCAUUUUAGUAGUGCAGAUUACAUUGAUGAAGAUGAUGAUGAAUUAAUGCUGGUAUAUUUUGAAGAGCAAUUGCCCUGUCACUGCAAGAUUCUGCAAAUGAUGUGACUUCUAAAGAAAUAAAGGGAGAUGCUCAUGUUCAAGGAGACGCAGGAAGGAGGAGGAAGAAAAGAGGAGAAAAUAAAAGGUUCUUUGGAGGGAACAACACAGAAAGCUGCCUUUUUGUUCACCUUUUCUUCUCCUCCAUGCAUGUUUAGCAGUCUCACCUUGUUGGUCAGAAUUGAGAAUACUGUGUGUUUUAAAAAGCCAACGCAGUUAGUAGUGCCCAAAUAAAUGGAGAUUCCCCGUUUUUUUCUUUUCCUUUUUCUUGAAUAUAGAUGAAUAAAGAUGUCUGCAACUAGCCUUUGCUUGGUUUAUGUAGCACUUUAGAAAUUAGUAAGUUUGGCAUGCGAAGUCCAUGCUGAUGAAAGAGCAAUCAUCAUUGUAAACUUGGGCCACCAAUGAUCAGCAAUGCUUGAUUGGCAUGGAUUAAAGAACAGCACUUUUGCUGAUUACAUAUAUGACAAGAGGAGAGAAAAAGAGAUUUCAGUA